rnacentral:lncRNA from 1 species
CACGUUGGAAGCAUCACUUGGGCUUCUGGUGAGGAAAAGAUUGCAGGGGUGCAGGAGGGGCUGCAGGGGGACCUGGGCAAGGGCGACUUCUCUGUCCUCCAGCCCACGGCUGGCGGUGGCUUGGACUAGCGUGGGGGCAGUGGAGUUGAAGAGAACUGGAAGGGUUCAGGAGCCACUUGGAGGUUGUCUCCGAGGCUUGAGGCCAGACUGCGGAUGGAGAGAAUUUGUACGUGACCUUUGUGACUUAGCCACGUCUCACUUUAGCCAGAUGUCACCGUGCCCGUGGCCAGGUCUCUGUCUCAUUCAUUUUGGAAUCAUCCCCAGCCUGGAGCAGCUGACCAGGGACGGCUGAAUAAAAUAUUUUCUGACUUGAAAUAAAAUGUUUGAAAUGGAAAGUCAAGACUUUUUAGCCAAAAGGCGUUUGUGAUCAAGGAGACAAUUGGACAAAUACAUUUUCUUGGUGCCAGUUUUGCACAGCGGGGUAAGGAGGGCUUAGGAGAGUUUGGGGGUGGAGUAGACGGUUGGUGUCCUUGUCACGCAGGGCUGAGGGGAUAUGGGGAAAGGAGGUCUGCUCAUGAGCCAGAACUGGGACAACCCACCCCAGCACGGGCACAGGUCUUUACAGCUUACACAGUGAGGUCGUAGGCAUUGUCUCAUGUGGUCGUUACAAGCCCCAUGAGGCAGACAGGGGUGGGUGCCCAUUUUACAGACAAGCUGAGACCAGAGCAGGGCAUUGGCUGUGGAAGACCUCAUAGUGUGUUAGCAGCCUGUACCCGCUGCCUCUGACUGCAGCAUCCCAGCCCCUCUCCAUCCCAGGAUGAACUCCGGCAGGAGCUCCUGUUCACAAGCUGACUGCUGGAAGGACUCGGGUCCCGAACAGGAGUAGAAGUUGUGAAAGAUGAAAGCAGAGUUUGUGGGUCAUCAAGAGAAGACAUUCACCGGAAGGUUUCUUGGAGCUCGAGGUUUGACCAGCCCUGCUGGACAUCAAAACAUAACUCAAAACCACAUCAAUGAGGCCAUGGUGGGGGCUGUGGGUCCAGGCCUCAGGCCUCAGGCCUCAGGGACCAUCACGUGGUUGCAGGCAGGAUCAACAUGCCGCUCCGCUGGGCCUGUCCUCGCGUGCUGGCAGCCACAGCCACUGAGUCCACAGGUUCUGCAUUCUCCUCAGUUUCCCCGCUUCCCUGGGCCUGCCCGCUGCUCAGCCCACCCGUCUCCUUGUGGGCACCUCAGACACUCUCGGAUGCUCCUCCUGUGCUCUCUUUGAUGUAAGCACAAGGAUGGACUUAAGACCUCUGCCAUAGGAUCCUCCAAACUUGUCUGAAACCCCAUCAUAGUCCUCCCUGGGACUCAGCUUAGGGGCUAGGGCAUGAGCCCCUCUUGGGGACAGAGACAGUGACAAAGUUGUGGUCAAUCCUCUUGGAUUCCUCUCCUCCUGCCCACAGCUUGAACCUGGUCCCUUCAUGGAGCCCAGGCUCUGACACCAUUGUGAAUUGUCUUUUCCAUCUACUGUCUAUGGAUAAGCUCUUUGCCUCUUCUGUUAGCUUUGGCUCCAAAUCCUCUGAGCUCUCUGGAAUCCAGAAUCUUUCCUUUCUCAAGGCCCAGCUCUUGUCGUACAGGCUGCCCUGUAGACGACACUCUGUGCAAGUGUUGUCUGUGCUAUCAACGUACAAAAGCCACACAGGAGCUAAAAGCCAAGCCAGGGACCCCAUGUAAUGCUAUUCCCCUGGGAGCGGCGCACCCAGGACACGUGCACAGCGAGGCAGGGCGCGAUGCAGAGCGAAUUCCGCCCACACACAGUGCAAGAGAAAAAUAUGACCAUAGCCCAUACGGUUAAGAAGGGGAACUGAAGCAGCGAGGAAGGCAGGGUUUAGUCAAUGCAAGGCGC